rnacentral:lncRNA from 1 species
ACUAAAAUGACCAAAAUGCUAUUUUAUCUUUUGAAAAAUUUAAAUUUUUUUUUUUUCAAAGUUUGAAAUUAUAUCCCAAAACUUCACUCCCCAACUCUAAACCCUAAACCCUAAACCCUAAACCCUAAAUCAUAAACCCCACUCCUUAACUCUAAACCGUAAACUCUAAACCCUAAACCCUAAACCCUAAACCCUAAACCCUAAAUUCUAAACCCUAAACCCUAAACCCUAAACCCUAAAUUCUAAACCCUAAACCCUAAACUCCACCCCUUAACUCUAAACUCUAAUGUCUAAA